rnacentral:tRNA from 1 species
GGAGAGAUGCUCGAGUGGCUGAAGAGGCACGCCUGGAAAGCGUGUAUACCCCUAAAGGGUAUCGGGGGUUCGAAUCCCCCUCUCUCCG